rnacentral:ncRNA from 2 species
GUAUAAUCGCCCCGUUUUGGUGCUCUCGCGCACGUCCAGGUGCGCGAAGUUAAACGGGAAACACGACAUGGCCGCGCCACGCGCCGCCAUGGAGGUGUGCUGCCCCCGCAACGGUCAACAAGCGCCGCGCUUCUCAUCAAGAGCGUGGCGGACGGUCUCGACAACCACUGCGCCGCUGUACAUUCUUUUCUGCGCAGGAAGGUGAGGCCGUCAUGCUUGCCAGCCCGGAUACCGGCCAAAGCAGGUGGAAGCGC